AUACGUAGGGGGCAAGCGUUAUCCGGAAUUAUUGGGCGUAAAGCGCGCGCAGGCGGUCCUUUAAGUCUGAUGUGAAAGCCCACGGCUCAGCCGUGGAGGGUCAUUGGGAACUGGGGGACUUGAGUGCAGAAGAGGAGAGCGGAAUUCCACGUGUAGCGGUGAAAUGCGUAGAGAUGUGGAGGAACACCAGUGGCGAAGGCGGCUCUCUGGUCUGUAACUGACGCUGAGGCGCGAAAGCGUGGGGAGCGAACAGGAUUAGAUACCCUGGUAGUCCACGCCGUAAACGAUGAGUGCUAAGUGUUAGAGGGUUUCCGCCCUUUAGUGCUGGAGUCAACGCAUUAAGCACUCCGCCUGGGGAGUACGGUCGCAAGACUGAA
rnacentral:rRNA from 1 species